AGCUCUUAAAGGCAAAACACCCAGGCCAGACCAGGAAAAGCGCUGUGCCUAGGAGCAUGCGGUCAGGACAAGCAGCUUCCAGCAGUGGGCGGCUCUUCCACCCCCACCUCACUCUACCUCCCAUAAUCCCCCCCACCCUUUAACGUGUCUCUGCAGGAUACCAAGGAGCUAUCCACACUCCCGACUCCAAGAGGGAAGGUUCUGAACCCCAAGUUCUUCUCCAGCCAGGACUGAAAGGAGAAGAGAGCUCCACUCUUCCACCCCCCCCAUCUCUGAAUUCGCCCUCUACAGCAUGGGCCUCACUGACCAUGGCCUUGGGCCCUGGGGCAACCUUUGCCUGAAAGCAUCAUCCAGGUUCAGCACAUCCUGCUCAAGGUAAAGAAGCUAGCCUCCAAACUUGGGCUACAGGCCAUUCACCUAGAGUUGGUAGCAAACAUUGGGUACCAGCCAAUGGGAACCAUCGUUCCCUGGAUGCAGCCUGUACUCAGUUCCAGUCAACCUCCUCUUUGGGAUCCCCUCGAGGCAAAGACAGCACUACACCCCUUGCCAGCAGGAAGCAGUUUCAGAAGCCAAGACCUUCACCCCUUGCCCCAAAAGAAUUUG